rnacentral:rRNA from 1 species
AUUGAACGCUGGCGGCAUGCCUUACACAUGCAAGUCGAACGGCAGCGGGGGAGAAGCUUGCCUUUCCUGCCGGCGAGUGGCGAACGGGUGAGUAAUACAUCGGAACGUGCCCUGUAGUGGGGGAUAACUAGUCGAAAGAUUAGCUAAUACCGCAUACGACCUGAGGGUGAAAGUGGGGGACCGCAAGGCCUCAUGCUAUAGGAGCGGCCGAUGUCUGAUUAGCUAGUUGGUGGGGUAAAGGCCUACCAAGGCGACGAUCAGUAGCUGGUCUGAGAGGACCAUCAGCCACAAUGGGCAUGGGACACGGCCCAGACUCCUACAGGAGGCAGCAGUGGGGAAUUGUGGACAAUGGGCGAAAGCCUGAUCCAGCAAUGCCGCGUGUGUGAAGAAGGCCUUCGGGUUGUAAAGCACUUUUGUCCGGAAAGAAAUGGCUCUGGUUAAUACCUGGGGUCGAUGACGGUACCGGAAGAAUAAGGACCGGCUAACUACGUGCCAGCAGCCGCAGUAA